rnacentral:rRNA from 1 species
GCCUAUGGCCAUACCACCCUGAACGUGCCCAGAUCUUGUAUGAUCUCGGAAGCUAACCAGGGUUGGGCCUGGUUAGUACUUGGAUGGGAGACCGCCUGGGACUACUGGGUGCUGUAAGCC